AUCAGAUAUAUGCCCUACUUCAUCGUCCCCCUCUCCCACACAGCGAGCAUAACCUAAAAACUCCAACCGGCCCCUGUCCUUUACCUUCAUCGUCACCCCCGUCCCUUAACCAGAUCAAAUAUCUAGCUUAUAAAAAACUCGAGACCUCAGCUGUCAUUUCCUCUCACUUAGUUCCAGCCCGCGGACGUCUUCGUCCUUGUUCCCACCCUCUCUCAAUUUCUCUCUCUGUGUCUCUGUCUCCAUGUCUCCCUUUCCUUCAGCAGCCCACUAAUGACUCCCACCCAAGACUUAAUCUCGCCAACGAUAGCUACAGGUGGCAAGCUUCAAGCUCCCACAGGUUUAUAAAAUUAUAUCGACGUGGCCUAACAAUGCGAAUGUGAAAGUAUCCAUUGAAAGACACAUAUUUGAUUUAGAUAUGUCAAGCUUGUAUGUAUCGAAGGAAGACAUCUUGGACUUUAUUUUCAACAAAAAGAUUGGGCAAGGAUACUAUAUCAAUGGCUCGUACAACAUAAUUGCCAACAAUUGUUUCAAUUUGUUAAUCCGAAUGAAGUAGCCACUCGUUUUACAUCGCUUGAUGCACAUGUUUCUUCUUUGUAUAGACGUAUCAAAAAAAUGUCAGAUAAUCAGCCGUACAUGGUCACUCAUUGGAUUGAUGGUGAGCAUUGGAUGUUGAUAUUAUUGGUGCCCGACUCUCAUUGGUUAUGUUUCAUCCUAAAAACUCACACUUGAGUAAUCGACCUGAUAUGAGAAACAAUCACAUUGGCAUUUCAAACUUACUACAGGGCGAUAAGGAAAGAAAUUCCACCGAAGCUAAAAGUUCGACGCCCAACUAUACGUAUUCUUUAUUUUAAAUUUCAGUUAUAUUUUAUUAAGAUCUUUAUUAAUUUAAAGAAAAAUCUUUAGUGUCCACAUCAAUCGGAAGACACCAAAUGUGGAUAUUAUGUAAUGAAGAUGAUGAAAGAUUUAAUUCAAGCUUCCAAUCGGAAACACUUUUUGGCCGAGUUAAGUGAUGCAAAGUAUACAAAAGAAGAAAUUGAUGAAGUGAAAGAGCAUUAGGCAAGUGAGAUGUUAUCGGUUAUUCAAACUUAUCGACGUUAGUUGUUUUUUGUUUUAAUAGGGCAAGUGAGAUGUUAUCGGUUAUUCAAACUUACCGAUGUUAGUUGUUUUUUGUUUUAAUAGGCCAAUAGUUAUUAUAUAAUUUUAUAGUUAUA